GGGGAAUAUUGGUCAAUGGGCGAGAGCCUGAACCAGCCAAGUCGCUUGAAGGAAGACUGCCUUAUGGGUUGUAAACUUCUUUUAUACAGGAAUAAAAAGGCUUACGUGUAGGCCAUUGCAAGUACUGUAUGAAUAAGCACCGGCUAACUUCGUGCCAGCAGCCGCGGUAAUACGAAGGGUGCAAGCGUUAAUCGGAAUUACUGGGCGUAAAGCGCGCGUAGGUGGUUCGUUAAGUUGGAUGUGAAAGCCCCGGGCUCAACCUGGGAACUGCAUCCAAAACUGGCGAGCUAGAGUAUGGCAGAGGGUGGUGGAAUUUCCUGUGUAGCGGUGAAAUGCGUAGAUAUAGGAAGGAACACCAGUGGCGAAGGCGACCACCUGGACUGAUACAGACACUGAGGUGCGAAAGCGUGGGGAGCAAACA
rnacentral:rRNA from 1 species